UACGUAGGGGGCAAGCGUUGUCCGGAAUCAUUGGGCGUAAAGAGCGUGUAGGCGGUUCGGUAAGUCGGCUGUGAAAGUCCAGGGCUCAACCCUGGGAUGCCGGUCGAUACUGCCGGACUAGAGUUCGGAAGAGGCGAGUGGAAUUCCCGGUGUAGCGGUGAAAUGCGCAGAUAUCGGGAGGAACACCUAUGGCGAAGGCAGCUCGCUGGGACGUUACUGACGCUGAGACGCGAAAGCAUGGGGAGCAAACAGG
rnacentral:rRNA from 1 species